UACCUAUAAGGACUGGGAGUAACUUCGGGAAACCGGAGCUAAUACCGGAUGAUAUUUUGAACCGCAUGGUUCAAAAGUGAAAGACGGUCUUGCUGUCACUUAUAGAUGGAUCCGCGCUGCAUUAGCUAGUUGGUAAGGUAACGGCUUACCAAGGCAACGAUGCAUAGCCGACCUGAGAGGGUGAUCGGCCACACUGGAACUGAGACACGGUCCAG
rnacentral:rRNA from 1 species